rnacentral:rRNA from 1 species
UACGAAGGGGGCUAGCGUUGCUCGGAAUCACUGGGCGUAAAGCGCACGUAGGCGGAUUGUUAAGUCAGGGGUGAAAUCCUGGAGCUCAACUCCAGAACUGCCUUUGAUACUGAAGAUCUUGAGUUCGGGAGAGGUGAGUGGAACUGCGAGUGUAGAGGUGAAAUUCGUAGAUAUUCGCAAGAACACCAGUGGCGAAGGCGGCUCACUGGCUCGAUACUGACGCUGAGGCACGAAAGCGUGGGGAGCAAACAGG